AGAGUUUGAUCCUGGCUCAGAUUGAACGCUGGCGGAAUGCUUUACACAUGCAAGUCGAACGGCAGCACGGAGAGCUUGCUCUCUGGUGGCGAGUGGCGAACGGGUGAGUAAUAUAUCGGAACGUAUCCAAUAAUGGGGGAUAACGAGUCGAAAGAUUCGCUAAUACCGCAUACGCCCUACGGGGGAAAGCAGGGGAUCGUAAGACCUUGCGUUAAUGGAGCGGCCGAUAUCUGAUUAGCUUGUUGGUGAGGUAAAGGCUCACCAAGGCGACGAUCAGUAGCUGGUUUGAGAGAACGACCAGCCACACUGGAACUGAGACACGGUCCAGACUCCUACGGGAGGCAGCAGUGGGGAAUUUUGGACAAUGGGGGCAACCCUGAUCCAGCCAUUCCGCGUGAGUGAAGAAGGCCUUCGGGUUGUAAAGCUCUUUCGCAAGGGAAGAAAACUUAUGAUCGAAUAAAUCAUGAGGUUGACGGUACCUUGAUAAGAAGCACCGGCUAACUACGUGCCAGCAGCCGCGGUAAUACGUAGGGUGCGAGCGUUAAUCGGAAUUACUGGGCGUAAAGCGUGCGCAGGCGGUUUUGUAAGUCGGAUGUGAAAUCCCCGGGCUCAACCUGGGAACUGCGUUCGAAACUGCAAGGCUAGAGUGUGUCAGAGGGGGGUAGAAUUCCACGUGUAGCAGUGAAAUGCGUAGAGAUGUGGAGGAAUACCAAUGGCGAAGGCAGCCCCCUGGGAUAACACUGACGCUCAUGCACGAAAGCGUGGGGAGCAAACAGGAUUAGAUACCCUGGUAGUCCACGCCCUAAACGAUGUCAACUAGUUGUUGGUAGAGUAAAAUCUAUGAGUAACGUAGCUAACGCGUGAAGUUGACCGCCUGGGGAGUACGGUCGCAAGAUUAAAACUCAAAGGAAUUGACGG
rnacentral:rRNA from 1 species